rnacentral:rRNA from 1 species
UACGGGGGGAGCAAGCGUUGUUCGGAUUUACUGGGCGUAAAGGGCGCGUAGGCGGCCAGCACAAGUCAGUUGUGAAAUCUCCGAGCUUAACUCGGAACGGUCAACUGAUACUGUGCGGCUAGAGUGCAGAAGGGGCAACUGGAAUUCUUGGUGUAGCGGUGAAAUGACGUAGAUAUCAAGAGGAACACCUGCGGCGAAGGCGGGUGCUGGGCUGACACUGACGCUGAGGCGCGAAAGCUAGGGGGAGCGAACGGG